AAAAAAAAAAAAAAAAAAAGAAAAAAAAAAAAGAGGAGGAAACCCUCCCCCCCCCAGCCCUCUGCCUUUGUUAUAAGAAAAGCAAGAGGAGAGAGUGACCUCCCGAGCCAAAGGUUUCGACACUGAAUCAAAUCCCUUUAGGCCUGAACUGGCAGGCUGGGCCCGGCGUUGGAUUACUUUAUCACAUCUUAGAGCGAUGCUUGACUGUCACUAUUAAUUUCUACUCCCAUUUUUUCCGUCAGUGUGAACAUUGUCAUUGGACUAUUGUUUAAGAUAGCAACAAUUCCAAACCAAAUUCAAGCCCAUACAGACAUUUAUGGAGCAGAACAGGUGAAUUCCAGAGACACUAGGAAACUCCUUCCUGUUAAAUUAAGACAACCUCGGAUGAAAAACCUUUUGAUGUGAACCACAGCGAUACUGGGGAUGGGACUAAGAGAAUUUUGGUGCCUGUUUCCUGAAUUAUAGCUGGGAUG